rnacentral:rRNA from 1 species
AGAGUUUUGAUCCUGGCUCAGGAUGAACGCUGGCGGCGUGCUUAACACAAUGCAAGGUCGAACGGGGGACCCCGUGAAGGAGUUUUCGGACAACGGAAGGGAAUCCCUAGUGGCGGACGGGUGAGUAACGCGUGAGUAACCUGCCUUGGAUGGGGAAUAACAGCUGGAAACAGCUGCUAAUACCGCAUAAAACGUCUGUGUCGCAUGGCACUGGACGUCAAAGAUUUAUCGCUCUGAGAUGGACUCGCGUCUGAUUAGCUAGUUGGUGGGGCAACGGCCCACCAAGGCGACGAUCAGUAGCCGGACUGAGAGGUUGGCCGGCCACAUUGGGACUGAGACACGGCCCAGACUCCUACGGGAGGCAGCAGUGGGGAAUAUUGGGCAAUGGGCGAAAGCCUGACCCAGCAACGCCGCGUGAAGGAAGAAGGCUUUCGGGUUGUAAACUUCUUUUAUCAGGGACGAAGCAAGUGACGGUACCUGACGAAUAAGCCACGGCUAACUACGUG